rnacentral:rRNA from 1 species
UUACCCAAUCCUGACACAGGGAGGUAGUGACAAGAAAUAACAAUACGGGGCUUAAUGUCUUGUAAUUGGAAUGAUGGGAAUUUAAACCUCUUCCAGAGUAUCAAUUGGAGGGCAAGUCUGGUGCCAGCAGCCGCGGUAAUUCCAGCUCCAAUAGCGUAUAUUAAAAUUGUUGCAGUUAAAAAGCUCGUAGUUGAAUUUCUGCUGCAUUACAUAUCUCUUGUUUGAGUUUGUUUUUGUGGCUUAUUUCGGUUUGAUUUUUUCUUUCCGGAUGAUUACUUUGAGAAAAUUAGAGUGCUCAAAGCAGGCUUUUGCCUUGAAUAGUUUAGCAUGGAAUAAUAAAGUAGGACUUUGGUUCUAUUUUGUUGGUUUUAGGUACCAAAGUAAUGGUUAAUAGGAACAGUUGGGGGCAUUCGUAUUUAACUGUCAGAGGUGAAAUUCUUAGAUUUGUUAAAGACGAACUACUGCGAAAGCAUUUGCCAAGGAUGUUUUCAUUAAUCAAGAACGAAAGU